CCCGCGUAGACGUUUACACCCACCAUAUUAUCGGAGUCCUGCCUACCAAAACAUGGCGAAUGGAGAGGAUAGCGGCUGCUCUGAAGUGUCACAAAUUAAUGUCGCCCCUCCCGUCAUCAUUUUGACUCUCUCGGCAUGUCCUGAUACAGCCUGUGACUCAGCAGCUGCCUUAAAUGAAAACUACAACUCCCAGCAUGCUGGACUAUAUAAUAAGAAAAAAUUCUGGAAUCUCCAUUUCCAUCUCUAGAACAAAGUCCGGCACAAAUGGUUCUGCAGGUGAAUAGAUCUCCAGACCUUCCUGAGCUGUGGAUGGGGACAUCGAUAGAAAACACAGCCCCAACAAGAGAACCGUCACCUCUAUCAAUGGGUUGGUUGAUACCUCUCCUUCAAGAUGGAAAUCUAACCAGAGUGCGGCAGAAGAUGUUGGUUGUUCCCAGUCAGCUGUGUUCACAAAGCAAAUUAUAAAGACAAUAGAAAGGUUAUAAGGAGAACAUACAGGAGGAAGACGCGACAACUUCAGGGUAGAGAACUCCAAGCACCAUGGAGAGUAGUGGACCUCCAACACAAACAAUGGAGAAGACGGGAGAUCAUGUGAUUGAUCUGGGCUGUAUAAAAUGGGAUUUACAUAUAGAGAAGGGAAACCAGAACUGACAUCUAAACUGGAGGGAACAAGGAUACCAGGGGUUAAAGAAUCAUGGAGGGUGGAAAGUGAUGUCUCCAAUCAACCAUCCAUCUGCAUCACCUGAGGAGAUGAUGGGACGUCUGUCUGUGACCGAUCUGAAGAACCUGAUGAAGAAGGGGCCUGAAGAGGUCAAUCACAACUCCAUCAUGUGUGAAAUGAGGGGGGGGGGGGAGCGGAUGGAGGACCCCCAGAGAUGGAGGUGUUCAUUGCAGCAGACAUUGUGGGGUCUUCUCCUUCCAUCCAUAGAAAAGAGGUUUGGUGAAGAGGGUUAAAGCUUCUCUUCAGGAAGGCCUCACCUAAAAGCCAAGGAGCAGCCUGGAGUUCAGGCUGAUGGAAAAUGUAUGGUGAAAAUAACCAAAAUGGUUCCAUGAGAAGACACUGAUCAGUCACCGCACUGCGAGAGCCAGAACCGUCUCAAUGUAGAUGAUUGUUUAUGGUUAUUAAAGUAGGAGCCUCCAGGAGCUCUGGAGUCUACAUGAUCUAGGGACACACGGUCCAUUAUACCGUAAUCUCCUUCCAUUAGGGAUGGUCAUGUCAUGAAGCAGAACCUCCAGGAGUCUACCUGAUCUGGAGGCACAUGGUCCAUUAUACCGUAAUCUCCUUCCAUUAGUCAUGGUCGUGUCAUGGAGGAGAACCUUCAGGAGUCUACCUGAUCUGGAGGCACACGGUCCAUUAUACUGUAAUCUCCUUCCCUUAGUGAUGGUCAUGUCAUG